GCGUUCUAGCGACGCUUUGGCGGCGGGAACCAUUCCCUCCGGGACCCAAAGGUGACGGUUAAGACAAUGGGCGCUCUUGCGCCCUGGGGACUUCGCCUGGGACGGAGAUCGCCUCUAGGCUGCAGCCUCCUGGUGGCGCCCAGCGAUGCCCCCUACUGGGCAGCCUGAGCCUGGAACAAGGCGCAGAAAACAGUUUUCCUCGUCAGCAGGGACUGCGGGUGCUCUUGGGGGCGCGGGGUUGCCCGGAUCUGCGCCCAGCGCAGGACCGCCGCCCUGGAAGAGGUCUUCGGACCCUGGAAGCCCGCGCCUGCCUCAGGGACAGCCUCUUGGGCGAAGCACAAAGCCCACCCCUGCCCCGCGCCUGCCCACGCCCAUUUAACGAGGUCAUUUAUAACAAACUCCC
rnacentral:lncRNA from 1 species